UAUAUAAAAGAAAGACGAUUAGACCCUAUUGAACUUAACUGUAGUUAAACUGGGSCAGUAAAUUAAUUAUUAUUUUAAUAAAAUAUUUUACAUAAAUAUCUAAUAAAAUUAAAUAAUUCAGUUACCAUAGGGAUAACAGCGUAAUAAUUUUCUAAAGAUCUUAUUUAAAACAUAGAUUACGACCUCGAUGUUGAAUUAAUAACCUAAUUAAGGCAAAACUUAAAAAAGGAAGUCUGUUCGACUUUUAAAAAAUUACAUGAUUUGAGUUCAGACCGGUGUAAGCCAGGUCGGUUUCUAUCUUCUAAAAAAUUUUUUACAGUACGAAAGGACCUAAAAAUCUAAUA
rnacentral:rRNA from 1 species